rnacentral:rRNA from 1 species
GAUGAACGCUGGCGGCGUGCCUAAUACAUGCAAGUCGAGCGAACGGACGAGAAGCUUGCUUUUCUGAUGUUAGCGGCGGACGGGUGAGUAACACGUGGAUAACCUACCUAUAAGACUGGGAUAACUUCGGGAAACCGGAGCUAAUACCGGAUAAUAUUUUGAACCGCAUGGUUCAAAAGUGAAAGACGGUCUUGCUGUCACUUAUAGAUGGAUCCGCGCUGCAUUAGCUAGUUGGUAAGGUAACGGCUUACCAAGGCAACGAUGCAUAGCCGACCUGAGAGGGGGAUCGGCCACCCGGGAACUGAGACACGGUCCAGACUCCUACGGGGGGCAGCAGUAGGGAAUCUUCCGCAAUGGGCGAAAGCCUGACGGAGCAACGCCGCGUGAGUGAAGAAGGUCUUCGGAUCGUAAAACUCUGUUAUUAGGGAAAAACAUAUGUGUAAGUAACUGUGCACCUCUUGACGGUACCUAAACAAAAAGCCACGGCUAACUACGU